rnacentral:rRNA from 1 species
UGGGGAAUAUUGCACAAUGGGCGAAAGCCUGAUGCAGCGACGCCGCGUGAGGGAUGACGGCCUUCGGGUUGUAAACCUCUUUCAGCAGGGUCGAAGCGCAAGUGACGGUACCUGCAGAAGAAGCACCGGCUAACUACGUGCCAGCAGCCGCGGGAAUACGUAGGGUGCAAGCGUUGUCCGGAAUUACUGGGCGUAAAGAGUUCGUAGGCGGUUUGUCGCGUCGUUUGUGAAAACCAGCAGCUCAACUGCUGGCUUGCAGGCGAUACGGGCAGACUUGAGUACUGCAGGGGAGACUGGAAUUCCUGGUGUAGCGGUGAAAUGCGCAGAUAUCAGGAGGAACACCGGUGGCGAAGGCGGGUCUCUGGGCAGUAACUGACGCUGAGGAACGAAAGCGUGGGUAGCGAACAGG